GAGGAGUGGCGGACGGGUGAGUAACACGUGGGUAACCUACCCAUCAGAGGGGGAUAACACUUGGAAACAGGUGCUAAUACCGCAUAACAGUUUAUGCCGCAUGGCAUAAGAGUGAAAGGCGCUUUCGGGUGUCGCUGAUGGAUGGACCCGCGGUGCAUUAGCUAGUUGGUGAGGUAACGGCUCACCAAGGCCACGAUGCAUAGCCGACCUGAGAGGGUGAUCGGCCACACUGGGACUGAGACACGGCCCAGACUCCUACGGGAGGCAGCAGUAGGGAAUCUUCGGCAAUGGACGAAAGUCUGACCGAGCAACGCCGCGUGAGUGAAGAAGGUUUUCGGAUCGU
rnacentral:rRNA from 1 species